UUGAACGCUGGCGGCAGGCCUCACCCCUGCAAGUCGAGCGGAUGAAGGGAGCUUGCUCCUGGAUUCAGCGGCGGACGGGUAAGUAAUGCCUAGGAAUCUGCCUGGUAGUGGGGGAUAACGUCCGGAAACGGGCGCUAAUACCGCAUACGUCCUGAGGGAGAAAGUGGGGGAUCUUCGGACCUCACGCUAUCAGAUGAGCCUAGGUCGGAUUAGCUAGUUGGUGGGGUAAAGGCCUACCAAGGCGACGAUCCGUAACUGGUCUGAGAGGAUGAUCAGUCACACUGGAACUGAGACACGGUCCAGACUCCUACGGGAGGCAGCAGUGGGGAAUAUUGGACAAUGGGCGAAAGCCUGAUCCAGCCAUGCCGCGUGUGUGAAGAAGGUCUUCGGAUUGUAAAGCACUUUAAGUUGGGAGGAAGGGCAGUAAGUUAAUACCUUGCUGUUUUGACGUUACCAACAGAAUAAGCACCGGCUAACUUCGU
rnacentral:rRNA from 1 species